rnacentral:lncRNA from 1 species
UGGUAUUCGCAAACUUCGCUAGGCGAGUGGUGCAGCGAAGAGUUCGCUAGGCGAAGGAUUUUGCUUGCCUAGCGAGCAAGCCAGUUUAAGUCAUUUUCUGGAUUUGGCCACCUGUGUGCUGGGUCUUUGUUCCUUUAAGAUCAAUGUCUUGAAAAAUGAGUUGGAGUGCCUUGAAAAAUGUCUUGCAAGAUUAACGGGCAAAUUUUGGGGUAUGACA